rnacentral:misc_RNA from 1 species
AUUAGCGGAACAAUCUGUUAACAGUGGUGGUAGCAACGUGGAUACCUCGCAAGGAAUACACUAUGCUGCGAUCCGUUCAUUGGUGUGAUAACUAUCUACGCUUUUGACGUGAAACAGGUUCAGCUUAUAACAGUCCAUUGACUUGGACAAUUUUUCAUUAAUGUGACCUCAAAUCAGGUAGGACUACCCGCUGAACUUAA